rnacentral:rRNA from 1 species
GAUGAACGCUGGCGGCGUGCCUAAUACAUGCAAGUCGAGCGAACAGACGAGGAGCUUGCUCCUCUGACGUUAGCGGCUGACGGGUGAGUAACACGUGGAUAACCUACCUAUAAGACUGGGAUAACUUCGGGAAACCGGAGCUAAUACCGGAUAAUAUAUUGAACCGCAUGGUUCAAUAGUGAAAUACGGUUUUUCUGUCACUUAUAGAUGGAUCCGCGCCGCAUUAGCUAGUUGGUAAGGUAACGGCUUACCAAGGCAACGAUGCGUAGCCGACCUGAGAGGGUGAUCGGCCACACUGGAACUGAGACACGGUCCAGACUCCUACGGGAGGCAGCAGUAGGGAAUCUUCCGCAAUGGGCGAAAGCCUGACGGAGCAACGCCGCGUGAGUGAUGAAGGUCUUCGGAUCGUAAAACUCUGUUAUUAGGGAAGAAAAAAUGUGUAAGUAACUAUGCACGUCUUGACGGUACCUAAUCAGAAAGCCACGGCUAACUACGUG